GACGAACACUGGCGGCGUGCCUAAUACAUGCAAGUUGAGCGAUGAAGAUUGGUGCUUGCACCAAUUUGAAGAGCAGCGAACGGGUGAGUAACGCGUGGGGAAUCUGCCUUUGAGCGGGGGACAACAUUUGGAAACGAAUGCUAAUACCGCAUAACAACUUUAAACAUAAGUUUUAAGUUUGAAAGAUGCAAUUGCAUCACUCAAAGAUGAUCCCGCGUUGUAUUAGCUAGUUGGUGAGGUAAAGGCUCACCAAGGCGAUGAUACAUAGCCGACCUGAGAGGGUGAUCGGCCACAUUGGGACUGAGACACGGCCCAAACUCCUACGGGAGGCAGCAGUAGGGAAUCUUCGGCAAUGGACGAAAGUCUGACCGAGCAACGCCGCGUGAGUGAAGAAGGUUUUCGGAUCGUAAAACUCUGUUGGUAGAGAAGAACGUUGGUGAGAGUGGAAAGCUCAUCAAGUGACGGUAACUACACAGAAAGGGACGGCUAACUACGUG
rnacentral:rRNA from 1 species